CGUUUUCUCUUUGGCCGUUGCUUCUCCGGAACUGCAGGAGACGAAUGAGUUGGGCUCAGAUGUUCCUGGCCGCCGGCUUGGUCUGCAACAGGAUGCUCCCCUGCCAUGACUUGCUCACAGGUCCUUCCUUUCGCAUCUUCAAGUUGCCGAGCUGAAGUAUCACCCGGAUUUCUGUGACGAUCUUCUGAGGUGCGAAUGCUCUAUUUCUACAGACUGCAGGCGCAAUCUCCUAUUGUAUUGUUAGUGGUGAAUCAGACUAUUUUUUUUUCUCUUUGUGCCAUGAUAUUUCUUUUUAAGUUAGCCAUUACAAUCUUAGAAGCCUUGCAUGACAAAUAUAGCCCUUCAUAUAUUUUGCUUCUGUCAGUAUACUUUUGAUGGCCAUGCCCCAUGAUUGUCAAUAUAUUUUGCUUCUGUCA